AUUGAACGCUGGCGGCAGGCCUAACACAUGCAAGUCGAGCGAGCGGCGGACGGGUGAGUAAUGUCUGGGAAACUGCCUGAUGGAGGGGGAUAACUACUGGAAACGGUGUCUAAUACCCCAUACCAUCAGAUGUGCCCAGAUGGGAUUAGCUGGUUGUUGGGGUAACGGCUCACCUAGGCGACGCUCCCUAGCUGGUCUGAGAGGAUGACCAGCCACACUGGAACUGAGAAACGGUCCAGACUCCUACGGGAGGCAGCAGUGGGGAAUAUUGCACAAUGGGCGCAAGCCUGAUGCAGCCAUGCCGCGUGUGUGAAGAAGGCCUUCGGGUUGUAAAGCACUUUCAGCGGGGAGGCGUUACCCGCAGAAGAAGCACCGGCUAACUCCGUGCCAGCAGCCGCGGUAAUUC
rnacentral:rRNA from 1 species